CAAAAUCGAAAAGUAGAAGGUUAUGUCGAGCACAUAAUACCAUCGUUCAGCAGUGAACAUUUUAAAUCGCAUUUUCGUAUUCGACCUUCAACAUUUGAGUAUAUUUUAAAUGAAAUUGGAGAAAGGCUUCAUGGCCCAAGUAAUGGAAUUGAAAUAGUAUCACCAGAAAAGCAGCUCUUAGUAGCUCUAUGGCGUUUUGCGACACCAGAUUCAUAUAGAUCAAUAAUUCAAAGGUUUAAUAUUAGUAAAGGUACAGGAAUAACAGCUGUACGCCGUGUUGCUAAAGCACUAUGUGAACUCUCACAAAGAUACAUAUUAUUGUGGCCUAAUGAAGAUGACUUUGAGGAUGUUGUUUAUGGCUUUUCUCGUGCACGUGGUUUUCCUGGUACUAUAGGGGCCAUAAAUGGUACGCAUAUAA